GAAAUAAACCUGAUGGGUUGUUGCUGGCUCUCCAGAGCAUGUGCACACCUUGUCAUCUUUAUAUCUCCACCUGUGCACUUUUUGUAGACCUUCUUAGGUCUAUGUUGCUUCAUUUUACCCCAAUGUAUGUCAAUAGAAUGUUGUGCCUAUGUAAUAUAUACAACUUUCAGCAACGGAUCUCUUGGCUCU
rnacentral:misc_RNA from 1 species